rnacentral:rRNA from 1 species
CCCUUAGAUGUUCUGGGCCGCACGCGCGCUACACUGACGACUUCAACGAGUUUUUUUCAUUUGAAAAAGUCCUUGGCCGGAAGGUCUGGGUAAUCUUUUAAAAGGUCGUCGUGAUGGGGCUAGAUUCUUGCAAUUAUUAAUCUCCAACGAGGAAUUCCUAGUAAACGCAAGUCAUCAACUUGCAUUGAUUACGUCCCUGCCCUUUGUACACACCGCCCGUCGCACCUACCGAUUGGUGAUCCGGUGAAUGAUUCGGACUUCAGCGGCUCCCCUGGGGUGCGCCGGAGAAAGUUUUGUGAACCUUAUCACUUGGAGGAAGGAGAAGUCGUAACA